rnacentral:rRNA from 1 species
UACGUAGGGUGCGAGCGUUAAUCGGAAUUACUGGGCGUAAAGCGUGCGCAGGCGGUUAUUUAAGUCAGGUGUGAAAGCCCUGGGCUUAACCUAGGAAUUGCGCUUGACGACUGGAUAGCUUGGGAGUGCGGCAGAGGGAGGUGGGAAUUCCGAACGUGUAGCAGUGAAAUGCGUAGAGAUGAUGGAGGAACACCGAUGGCGAAGGCAGCCUCCUGGGCCAGCACUGACGCUCAUGCACGAAAGCGUGGGGAGCAAACAGGAUUAGACUACCUGG